rnacentral:lncRNA from 10 species
AUGCAUUUCUCCUCAUCCACCUCACUCUGACCCCGGAUGCCAGUUAACCCAGGAGAGGUCCCUGAACACAACCCCGAUGCAAGCAAAGGUGGUGGACAAUACGGAGGAGGAUGAAGAGGCAUGGUCCACCACAACAGGUUGCCCAGAGAGGCUGUAGAGAGUUUAAAAGGAAGGAGUGAGAGGGAUCACCAGACCAUGAAGUAGGUACAAAGGCAUCCCCUGUGGGAGGAAGGAGGAGCUCAAGGUCAG